rnacentral:rRNA from 1 species
UACGAAGGGGGCGAGCGUUGUUCGGAAUUACUGGGCGUAAAGGGCGCGUAGGCGGCGACUCUAGUCAGAUGUGAAAGUCCUGGGCUUAACCUGGGGACUGCAUUUGAUACUGGGUUGCUUGAAUUCGGGAGAGGAUAGCGGAAUUCCCAGUGUAGAGGUGAAAUUCGUAGAUAUUGGGAAGAACACCGGUGGCGAAGGCGGCUAUCUGGACCGACAUUGACGCUGAGGCGCGAAAGCGUGGGGAGCGAACAGG